GAGGGUAUAGCUCAGUGGUAGAAUGUGUGCUUAGCAUGCACGAGGUCCUGGGUUCAGUCCCCAGUACCUCCA
rnacentral:tRNA from 1 species